CGGGGGUUAGCUCAGUCUGGUAGAGUGCACGUCUGGGGGGCGUGAGGUCGCUGGUUCAAGUCCAGUACCCCCGACCA
rnacentral:tRNA from 1 species